rnacentral:rRNA from 1 species
GACGAAGGGGGCUAGCGUUGUUCGGAAUUACUGGGCGUAAAGCGCGUGUAGGCGGUUGUUCAAGUCAGGUGUGAAAGCCUUGAGCUCAACUCAAGAAAUGCACUUGAUACUGGAUGACUAGAGGACCGGAGAGGAUAGUGGAAUUCCCAGUGUAGUGGUGAAAUACGUAGAGAUUGGGAAGAACACCAGUGGCGAAGGCGGCUCACUGGCC